rnacentral:tRNA from 1 species
GCCCCCAUCGUCUAGUG